rnacentral:rRNA from 1 species
AACGAACGCUGGCGGCAGGCCUAACACAUGCAAGUCGAACGCCCCGCAAGGGGAGUGGCAGACGGGUGAGUAACACGUGGGAACCUACCCAAGGGUACGGAAUAACUCAGGGAAACUUGUGCUAAUACCGUAUACGUCCUUAGGGAGAAAGAUUUAUCGCCCCUGGAUGGGCCCGCGUCUGAUUAGCUUGUUGGUGGGGUAAUGGCCUACCAAGGCGACGAUCAGUAGCUGGUCUGAGAGGAUGAUCAGCCACACUGGGACUGAGACACGGCCCAGACUCCUACGGGAGGCAGCGGUGGGGAAUAUUGGACAAUGGGCGCAAGCCUGAUCCAGCCAUGCCGCGUGAGUGAAGAAGGCCCUAGGGUUGUAAAGCUCUUUCGCACGCGAAGAUAAUGACGGUAGCGUGUAAAGAAGCCCCGGCUAACUCCGUG